UAGUGUAUACGAAUCUUCUAUUGGGGAUAAUGAAGAUCAAUUGCUUUCCGAUGUAGAUGAAUGUGUCCUCUAGGCAAUCGAAUUACUGAAAAGCCG
rnacentral:ribozyme from 1 species